GACGAACGCUGGCGGCGUGCUUAACACAUGCAAGUCGAACGGAAAGGCCCUGCCUUUGUGGGGUGCUCGAGUGGCGAACGGGUGAGUAACACGUGAGUAACCUGCCCUUGACUUUGGGAUAACUUCAGGAAACUGGGGCUAAUACCGGAUAGGAGCUCCUGCUGCAUGGUGGGGGUUGGAAAGUUUCGGCGGUUGGGGAUGGACUCGCGGCUUAUCAGCUUGUUGGUGGGGUAGUGGCUUACCAAGGCUUUGACGGGUAGCCGGCCUGAGAGGGUGACCGGCCACAUUGGGACUGAGAUACGGCACAGACUCCUACGGGAGGCAGCAGUGGGGAAUAUUGCACAAUGGGCGGAAGCCUGAUGCAGCAACGCCGCGUGCUGGAUGACGGCCUUCGGGUUGUAAACCGCUUUCGCCUGUGACGAAGCGUGAGUGACGGUAAUGGGUAAAGAAGCACCGGCUAACUACGUG
rnacentral:rRNA from 1 species